GACAUGCAGAGAACUUUCCAGAGAUGGAUUGGUGCCUUCGGGAACUCUGACACAGGUGCUGCAUGGCUGUCGUCAGCUCGUGUCGUGAGAUGUUGGGUUAAGUCCCGUAACGAGCGCAACCCUUGUCCUUAGUUACCAGCACGUUAUGGUGGGCACUCUAAGGAGACUGCCGGUGACAAACCGGAGGAAGGUAGGGAUGACGUCAAGUCAUCAUGGCCCUUACGGCCUGGGCUACACACGUGCUACAAUGGUCGGUACAAAGGGUUGCCAAGCCGCGAGGUGGAGCUAAUCCUAUAAAACCGAUCGUAGUCCGGAUCGCAGUCUGCAACUCGACUGCGUGAAGUCGGAAUCGCUAGUAAUCGUGAAUCAGAAUGUCACGGUGAAUACGUUCCCGGGCCUU
rnacentral:rRNA from 1 species